rnacentral:rRNA from 1 species
AGAGUUUGAUCCUGGCUCAGGAUGAACGCUGGCGGCGUGCCUAACACAUGCAAGUCGAACGAGAAGCUAACUUCUGAUUCCUUCGGGAUGAUGAAGUUAGCAGAAAGUGGCGAACGGGUGAGUAACGCGUGGGUAAUCUACCCUGUUUAGUGGGGGAUAACCCUCCGAAAGGAGGGCUAAUACCGCAUAAUAUCUUCUCCUCUAAAGAGAAGAAGAUUAAAGAUGGCCUCUAUACUAUGCUAUCGCUUCAGGAUGAGCCCGCGUCCUAUUAGUUAGUUGGUGGGGUAACGGCUUACCAAGACAGCGAUGUCUAGGGGUUCUGAGAGGAUUUUCCCCCACACUGGUACUGAGACACGGACCAGACUCCUACGGGAGGCAGCAGUAAGGAAUAUUGGGCAAUGGACGAAAGUCUGACCCAGCCAUGCCGCGUGCAGGAUGACAGCCCUAUGGGUCGUAAACUGCUUUUAUAUGGGAAGAAACUCCACUACGUGUAGUGGACUGACGGUACCAUACGAAUAAGAUCGCUAACU